ACGUGCAUAACGGGACACAGGCAGACAUAUAGUAUAUGAAAUCACUGCAACAAUACAACGCUAUACUUUGGACAUCACUUGCCAUAAAAGACAGAGUUGUGCACCAAGUGACAUGGAAAUUGAUCAGAUUUGUAAGUGUUUUUUUUUGACAUGUGGUGGAGAUUAAAGCUUCAUCAGGAGGAGAAAACUAUUUUAAAAAAGAUUAAAACGGCACUAUGUCUAAUUGCGAAAUGCAGCAUGUCAACAUAAUGCAUGUGGACGUGUGUGUGGACAUGAUAUUUGUUGAAUUGCCUGUAGAAAUAACAUUUAAGGUCAUGAGUCAUAUCAAGCUUUGUCAUCAUCAAAGUGAUCAGUGUAAUAUAUAAUAUACGUGGCAGUCUCCUCCCCUAUACACAUGUGUAGAGAUGUACACAUGCACAUACUUUAGAAUUAUGUCAAUUAAGUACACAAAGCAUUUUGUUUCGAGGUUCACAUUCCUCACUUCAAUGAACAUCUAAACUUAUGUUUGUGUGUCCAAGAAAACAAUUAAAAUAAAAGGACAUGAUAAAAUAACAGAAAAAAAAACAUCCCUAAUAGACUACAACCCCUCACUCGCCUCAUCCCCCCUCUCCAUCCUCUAUAGUCCCCCAUCAUCCAAAUCCUGCUCAGGGGCCUUAUAAAUCUAACAUCUAACACUUUGAGAUUGAACGUAUGAACCACAAUAAUUCUAAAAUCUAAAUCUAAAGUCUAAAAACUACAGCGAAACUUAUUUCUCAGUCAAAUAUGGAUCUGGAAUAAAUACAAACGGGAAAUUGGGCAGACAGCCCAUUGUAGGAGUCACUUUCUUCCGGUAGAUGGCAGUAGUGUGACGAAGGUGUCGCUGGAAGUCAAGGAGAAGAAGAGUCAGGAAACAGGAAGAUGUGAAAAGGUGACAGAUAAAAACUUUUGUUUUCUCUGCCACUCACCGCUGCAGGAGCGGCAUCUAAAUAAAGAAGCCGAACUCUGUGUUUGUACGGCUGUCACAGCUGUACAGGAAGAACAGAAGGUCCUGCCUCUGUCCUCACUAAGGCUCCUGCCUCCAUCCCUGCGAGUGAUACAGGCUGUGAUGUGGAAGCAUUAUGGGAAAGUGGAGAAGUUUGUGUCCUUGGUGACUGAAGCUGACUGGCUUGGCUUAAGAGCAAAGAUGGUUUUACACACAUUAUGCUCUGAACGGUCAAAAGAACUCGUUCAAACGCACUUAAAUGGCCUUCUCCUAACUUGCACAAAACAGACAGAAUGUGUUUCCUGUCAAGUAUGGCCCUUUGACACGACACUGGAGUCUCUCGUUUGAGUCUCUUCUUCACCCGACUGGAGGAGCUGGUGCUAAUACCAAACAGGUGCAUAAUUUAUGCCUUAAAACUGCAGUUUACAAUACAUCUCUAAAUGUCUCUCUCCCUCUGAAGUGUUAGUCUUGUUUUUAUAGACUGCAGUGUGGAUCAGUGAUAUGUCUUCUGUGCUAGAUGAAUACAUUCAGUGUCUAACCAACAUACAUGAUCUCAGUGUUUUGCUCAGAAGCAAGGAGCAUCAUGGGAACAUGGCCAAGAUGGAUUCCAGUGGUAUGUGUAUAUAGCUGGGAAACCAGCCAUGUAUUUAUGUGCUACAAUAGUUUUAAUCAGAGUGGAUUAGUUAUUUCUCCUUAUCUGUUUUGCUUCCUGUUAUUGACAUUGCUCACCAUUGAUCACAAUUAUAAAUAAAAAUGCAUUGAUCUAUUGAAAAAUAAAGGAGA